GAUGAACGCUGGCGGCGUGCCUAAUACAUGCAAGUCGAGCGAACGGACGAGAAGCUUGCUUCUCUGAUGUUAGCGGCGGACGGGUGAGUAACACGUGGAUAACCUACCUAUAAGACUGGGAUAACUUCGGGAAACCGGAGCUAAUACCGGAUAAUAUUUUGAACCGCAUGGUUCAAAAGUGAAAGACGGUCUUGCUGUCACUUAUAGAUGGAUCCGCGCUGCAUUAGCUAGUUGGUAAGGUAACGGCUUACCAAGGCAACGAUGCAUAGCCGACCUGAGAGGGUGAUCGGCCACACUGGAACUGAGACACGGUCCAGACUCCUACGGGAGGCAGCAGUAGGGAAUCUUCCGCAAUGGGCGAAAGCCUGACGGAGCGACGCCGCAUGAGUGAUGAAGGUCUUCGGAUCGUAAAACUCUGUUAUUAGGGAAGAACAUAUGUGUAAGUAACUGUGCACAUCUUGACGGUACCUAAUCAGAAAGCCACGGCUAACUACGUGCCAGCAGCCGCGGUAAUACGUAGGUGGCAAGCGUUAUCCGGAAUUAUUGGGCGUAAAGCGCGCGUAGGCGGUUUUUUAAGUCUGAUGUGAAAGCCCACGGCUCAACCGUGGAGGGUCAUUGGAAACUGGAAAACUUGAGUGCAGAAGAGGAAAGUGGAAUUCCAUGUGUAGCGGUGAAAUGCGCAGAGAUAUGGAGGAACACCAGUGGCGAAGGCGACUUUCUGGUCUGUAACUGACGCUGAUGUGCGAAAGCGUGGGGAUCAAACAGGAUUAGAUACCCUGGUAGUCCACGCCGUAAACGAUGAGUGCUAAGUGUUAGGGGGUUUCCGCCCCUUAGUGCUGCAGCUAACGCAUUAAGCACUCCGCCUGGGGAGUACGACCGCAAGGUUGAAACUCAAAGGAAUUGACGGGGGCCCGCACAAGCGGUGGAGCAUGUGGUUUAAUUCGAAGCAACGCGAAGAACCUUACCAAAUCUUGACAUCCUUUGACAACUCUAGAGAUAGAGCUUUCCCCUUCGGGGGACAAAGUGACAGGUGGUGCAUGGUUGUCGUCAGCUCGUGUCGUGAGAUGUUGGGUUAAGUCCCGCAACGAGCGCAACCCUUAAGCUUAGUUGCCAUCAUUAAGUUGGGCACUCUAAGUUGACUGCCGGUGACAAACCGGAGGAAGGUGGGGAUGACGUCAAAUCAUCAUGCCCCUUAUGAUUUGGGCUACACACGUGCUACAAUGGACAAUACAAAGGGCAGCGAAACCGCGAGGUCAAGCAAAUCCCAUAAAGUUGUUCUCAGUUCGGAUUGUAGUCUGCAACUCGACUACAUGAAGCUGGAAUCGCUAGUAAUCGUAGAUCAGCAUGCUACGGUGAAUACGUUCCCGGGUCU
rnacentral:rRNA from 1 species